UAAACCCAUCUAUUGUAUUCAUGGUACUGCUUUCAAAUGAUACUUAUAAACAUGUUGGGGUCAGUGACAAGCCCAAGGCCCUGAGGUGGUUUUAGAAGCAAAUAGAAGAGUCUAACUCAAGAUAAAUUUAUGGCCAGUAUAAUUACUUCUUGAAUAAUAAUAUCAUUUCUGACAUGCUUAAAAUUAUGUAAUAGCAUCUAGUCUUAAUAGUAAUAUUGAGUGAUGCAUGCUAAGUUGGAGCUUGCAUUUCUUCUAGGGAUCAGCAAAGAAUUUGCCAUCUUCAUGUACUUCAAGUUUUCCUCCAAGCAUGUGCUUUUUCCCACAGUACGUGGUGCAGAGUAUGCGCACACCACUUUUCAUAUUAAAUGCGGCAUAUGAUGCAUGGCAGAUCAAGAAUAUUUUGGCGCCAAGUCCUUCUGAUCCCAGUAAAGUUUGGGGUGAAUGCAAGCUUGAUAUAAAGAAGUGUUCUUCAAGUCAACUUCAGGUCCUGCAAGGUCAGCACUUUUUAAGUUGAUACUGAUCACAGAAAGUUUCUUUUGUAUGGCAAGGUGCCUAUGAGGCUUGGAUUUUCAGAG